GCAUACGUGGUGUAGUGGUUUGGGCAUCGGAUUAUGACUCUGGAGACUAGGGUUUGAUUCCCUGUUUGAGCA